GUGCUCUCUGUCCCUAUCAUAGUUCUGUGUUGCCUCCAUUGCUCUAAAGUGAGCUGUGAUCCAUCUCUGUCUCCUUCUGGUCGGGGUGCAGUCUUCUGGGGUGAUGACUGGGGCCAGCCACCUUCCAUCUCGUUUCAUCCCCCCUGAACACCCCUCCACUCUUCCCCUCUGCUUUUCCCUAAGCUUUUCCCACAAAGCUCCCUACAUCCUCCCUCUCCCUUAAUCCUUUAUGUUCACCCCAACUCUUGCUCAGCUCCUCUCACCUUCUCUCCACAGCUGACACCUAUGGAGCUGUGGCCCUGACUACUACCAGCUUGCUCAUCCCUCUACUCACACAGUCACCCCUCCCCUCACUCUCAUUUAUGCUUCACCUGUGAAUGGUGGUCCUGGGACAGCCACUGCUGGAGCCCGGGUGAGCCUGGGGGCUCCUCCCACUCUGUCCCUCCCUGAGACAGCCCUCGCCACAGCUCCCGAGCCGGCCACCACGUCCCUGCAUACUUCAUCAUCACCUGUGCCACCAGAAGCCACCACAGCUUUGGGACACAACCUGAAGACCCUCACAGUCACCUUCCCCAUCUCCACCCUCCAGUAUUCAUCAGACAGGAGCAACGGCUCAGCCACGUUCCACUCCACUGAGAGGGUCCUGCAGAGCCUGCUGGAUCCUUGUUCAAGAAGAGCAGCCUGGGCCUCUUCUCCUUGAGUUGCAGACUGGUCUCCCUCAGGCCUGUGAAGGAUGGGGGAGCCACCUGUGUGGACGCUGUCUGCACCCACCACCGUGACCCCGUGGGCCACCAUGCCUCUGUGCUGGGAGCUGAGAGUCUCCACCUGUCUGCUCUUCCUCUCGGUGGCUCCAGGCUCUGCACCCUGGAGUUUAUGCAUGCAGAGAGAACACCAGCUGCAUUUCCGCAGCAUCAGCUGGAACCACAGCAACCCGGAGCCCACAUCCUCGGAGUAUACCGCCCUGC